AGCCCCGUAGUGUAGUGGCCAAUCAUGCCGGCCUUUGGAGCCGGAGACCCCGGUUCGAAUCCGGGCGGGGCUA
rnacentral:tRNA from 1 species